AUGUCUCGAUCUAUCACUCCAUUACUUGAGCAUACAACAAACAAAGCACAUACAAAAACAACACUGAAGAAGGACAAAACAAGGAAUUCGCAGAAGAGAAAGAAGAGAUGGAGUAGAACGAAGAAGAAGAAGAAGAAAAAGUUUAACGAAGAAAGGGAAAGUGUGGAAGCUUACUAUUACCUUCAUUUUCUCGGAGUUCUCUGGACCUUUUUAUUAACGCCACGGUUGAAGAGCCGUCGGAGCGACUCCGACAGGUAA